UACGUAGGGUGCAAGCGUUGUCCGGAAUUAUUGGGCGUAAAGAGCUCGUAGGCGGUCUGUCGCGUCUGCUGUGAAAACCUAGGGCUUAACUCUGGGCGUGCAGUGGGUACGGGCAGGCUAGAGUGCGGUAGGGGAGACUGGAAUUCCACGGUAUAGCAGUGAAAUGCGUAGAGAUGUGGAGGAACACCAGUGGCGAAGGCAGGCCUCCUGGG
rnacentral:rRNA from 1 species